rnacentral:rRNA from 1 species
AGUUCGAUCCUGGCUCAGAUUGAACGCUGGCGGGAUGCUUUACACAUGCAAGUCGAACGGCAGCACGGACUUAUUCAGAAGAGGGUUGAACGUAAGGAGUAAUGUAUCGGAACGUGCCUAGUAGCGGGGGAUAACUACGCGAAAAGUUAUAGCUAAUACCGCAUACGCCCUUCGGGGGGAAAGCGGGGACCUCGGGCCUCGCACUAAUAGAGCGGCCGAUAUCGGAUUAGCUGAAAUGGUGGGGUAACGUACUCACCAAGGCGACGAUCCGUAGCUGGCCUGAGAGGACGACCAGCCACACUGGGACUGAGACACGGCCCAGACCUUUACGGGAGCAAGGCAGUGGGGAAUUUUGGACAAUGGGGAAACCCUGAUCCAGCCAUCCCGCGUGUGCGAUGAAGGCCUGGGUUGUAAAGCACUUUUGGCAGGAAAGAAACGGCACGGGAUAAUACUCCCGUGCAACUGACGUACCUGCAGAAUACACCGGCUAACUACGUGCCAGCAGCCGCGGUAAUACGUAGGGUGCAAGCGUUAAUCGGAAUUACUGGGCGUAAAAGCGUGCGCAGGCGGUUCGGAAAGAAAGAUGUGAAAUCCCAGAGCUUAACUUUGGAACUGCAUUUUUAACUACCGAGCCAGAGUGUGUCAGAGGAGUGUGAAUCUAUAUGCAGCAGCAAAAUGCGCAGAUAUGCGGAUAAACACCGAUGGCGAAGGGCAGCCUCCUGGGAUAACACUGACGCUCAUGCACGAAAGUGGGAGCAACAGGAUUAGAUACCCUGUAGUCCACGCCCUAAACGAUGUCAACUAGCUGUUGGGGCCCGCCUUGGCAGCGCAGCUAACGCGUGAAGUUGACCGCCUGUGGGAGUACGGUCGCAAGAUUAAACCUCAAAGGAAUUGACGGGACCUCCGCACAAGCGGUGGAUGAUGUGGAUUAAUUGAUGCAAACGCGAAAACCUUACCUACCCUUGCGACAUGUCUGAAUCCCGAAGAGACGGGAGUGCCUGCAAGAGAACCGAACACAGGUGCUGCAUGGCUGUCGUCAGCUCGUGUCGUGAGAUGUUGGGCUAAGUCCCGCAACGAGCGCAAAUCCCCACACAAUAGUUGCUACGAAAGGGCACUCUAUCGAGACUGCCGGUGACAAACCGGAGGAAGGUGGGGAUGACGUCAAGUCCUCAUGGCCCUUAUGGGUAGGGCUUCUUCACACGUCAUACAAUGGUCGGGACAGAGGGUCGCCAACCCGCGAGGGGGAGCCAAUCCCAGAAACCUGAUCAGUCCGGAUCGCAGUCUGCAACUCGACUGCGUGAAGUCAACCGCUAGUAAUCGCGGAUCAGCAUGUCGCGGUGAAUACGUUCCCGGGUCUUGUACACACCGCCCGUCACACCAUGGGAGUGUGGGUUUGCUCAGAAGUAGUUAGCCUAACUGUACAGGAGGGCGAUUACCACGGUAGAUCUCUAUGACUGGGGUGAAGUCGUAACAAGGUAA